GGGUAUAGUAGCAAUACUAGAGACCGGCGCACGGGUGCGUAACGCGUAUGCAAUCUACCUUAUACAGAGGGAUAGCCCAGAGAAAUUUGGAUUAAUACCUCAUAGCAUAGCAACUUCGCAUGAAGUCACUAUUAGAGUUCCAACGGUAUAAGAUGAGCAUGCGUCCUAUUAGCUAGAUGGUAAGGUAACGGCUUACCAUGGCUACGAUAGGUAGGGGUCCUGAGAGGGAGAUCCCCCACACUGGUACUGAGACACGGACCAGACUCCUACGGGAGGCAGCAGUGAGGAAUAUUGGACAAUGGGCGCAAGCCUGAUCCAGCCAUGCCGCGUGCAGGAAGACGCAUCUAUGGUGUGUAAACUGCUUUUGUACGGGAAGAAACACUCCCUCGUGAGGGAGCUUGACGGUACCGUAAGAAUAAGGAUCGGCUAACUCCGUGCCAGCAGCCGCGGUAAUACGGAGGAUCCAAGCGUUAUCCGGAAUCAUUGGGUUUAAAGGGUCCGUAGGCGGUUUGGUAAGUCAGUGGUGAAAGCCCAUCGCUUAACGAUGGAACGGCCAUUGAUACUGCCAGACUUGAAUUACUGGGAAGUAACUAGAAUAUGUAGUGUAGCGGUGAAAUGCUUAGAUAUUACA
rnacentral:rRNA from 1 species